rnacentral:rRNA from 1 species
UACGUAGGGGGCGAGCGUUGUCCGGAGUUACUGGGCGUAAAGGGCAUGCAGGCGGUCAGGCGCGUUUUGUGUGACAGCGGAUGGCUUAACUGUCCGAGGAUACGAAAGACGGCGUGACUUGAGAGCGCGAGAGGGACACGGAAUUCCGGGUGGAGUGGUGAAAUGCGUAGAGAUCCGGAGGAACACCGAAGGCGAAGGCAGUGUCCUGGCGCGUAUCUGACGCUGAGGCACGAAAGCGUGGGGAGCAAACAGG